GACAGAUACAGGCGUCAUGCAGUUAGUGGCGGCCCAGCUAGCUACAGUGCAGUGGUAUUGAAGGCGAGGAGACCGGAGGCAAGAUCGACACUGGUGGCAAGUACAUCUGCUGGCAUCCGGUGUUAUAAUGGGGGACCACUUAAGCAGCAAUUGCCCCAAACCUAAGGCGGAAAGGUGCAUGCGGUGUGGAAAGGCGGGACACGACAGGUUUGACAGCCCUAGUCGUAGUGGAGGACCGUCAGGAGGCGGAUCUGGCGCGAUUCCAAAGGCGAAGCACUGUCAGGGUGAUGUAAAACUUAAGGCGUAUAUAUCGACACUGGGAGUGAACGAAGCAUUAUAAGGCGCGAAAUGUUCGAUACUCUUGGUGACGAUAUUAAAGUUGACCCAUCGUCUGUGGUUUUACAGGAUUUUGGCGGCGGUACGUUCACAGUGAAAGGCGAGGUAAAAUUACCUAUCAUUGUGGACGGCAUCGCAAUAGAUGUUAAGGCGGUAAUUGCAGACUGCGAUCUUUUUGGCGCUGAUCUUCUUUUAGGUCAACCGGCGUUAGCUACCCCAGGCGUUACACUGACGGUCACCGAUGGCAAGGCGAAGCUCACUCGGGUUGACCCAGCAGCGGAGAUCACUCUGGAGGAUGAUGCAACAGAUCACUCUGGAGGAUGACAAGGCGAUGGCGUUACGCAAGGUGCUAUGCUUGGAAGACACAAGCAUGGAUCCUGGUGAAGAAGCAGACUUAUUGGUGGUGGUGUAUGGCGGAAAACAAAGCGAAAAGUAUUGGGUACCUGCCAAACGGUGUGAAAAGAAGGACAUCGUAUUGGCAAUAGGCGGACAGGUACUGGCGGUGAAUCUUCCAAGUUACAUGUGAAGAACGUAGGCGAAAAACAGAUGAUUUGGAAGACGGGAUGCGUCAUGGCGAGAUGCACCCUUAUAGGCGAAGUUACUGUUAAGGAUGGCCGAAUGUAACCAGUGAUUUUUCCGAGGCGAAGGAAAAUGGCAACGUGGCGACGGGCACGGCGAAGUAGCAUCGGAAACGCUGCAAGCUCUGGAACGAUCGGCGCAGGAGGCGAUGGUGGGAGAGCAGUCAGCUGGCGGGCGGGAGAAGCUAUCUAUCGGCUUCGGCGGGGGACGAAUCUUUUUGGUGAACUGGUGAUAUUUUUACUAUUA